UUAAAGCAAUGUCUUUCGUCUUUGAGUUAAUUUGAAAAAGCAAACUGCGUGUAAAAAAAAAAAAAAUCACGUUGUUACAGUAAGUGGAGCGAUCGGGGCUGUAGCGAUGUUUUACAGCGCAGCUUCAUUCACCCCUUGGUCUUAGGAGUUAGGCAUUGACUUCUGUGUAAACACGCAGUAUCUUGCUUCAGCUUCUCAGCCAUAUAUUUGAUUACUUAUCACACAAAAAAAGAUUUGUUAUCACAAAAAAGAAACGAUUGGUUUUUGUUGUUAUCUCUCGAGUGACAGCUUGCUGGCUGCCUCGAGGUACGGUUAUGGGUAAUGAAACACCGGUCGCCCGAGCCGCCCUGCUGGCAGCCGGCAGAAAUAAAAGCUUUACUCCUGUGUUACUCGCGACAGACGCUUGUGUAAGCAGCCCCGGCACAGCUGUGCCCGCGCACUGGGCAGCCGUUUGAUCCCUGUCGCUGCUGCGGGAUGCGGGUUGUGCACCAGGAGCUUUUCUGUGUGUGACUUGUAACGGUUGGCUCUGAAUGGAACGGCAGCUUCAGUGCGCUUUGUGUUGAGAAGAGGGAGAAAAAGGAUAAGGAGGUGAUGACUCAAGCUGAUGAGGAGGAACUAUUUACAGUGAAAAAAGCAUCUAAAGAAGAACCAAAUGACGAAUCUCAAGACAGGGUGAACUUACAUGAUUACCCAUCUGUUAUGGAGAAGAUGGCUCUGCAGCAUCUCUAUUUUGGAGGUGAAUGAAGUGAAAGCAGUGCAGCAGACCCUGGAGCAGUAUGCUUUGCAACUCAGUUCUGGUGACAUUGUUCAUCUGGGAGAUGUAAAAUGAAUCAAAGGUGGAGAAACACAGAUCCAUUAUGUAGUGUUCUGCCUGCUGAAAACUGGGAGCUAGUGGAGCAGGCUAAACUUGUAGAUCCAACUGUGAAGAAGACCUUGAGGCUUAUCUGUUUAAGGCCAGUUACUUGCUUUGAGUGUUGUCAUGCUCCUAUGGACUACAGAUCUUUUUGAGAUUUCUCAGCCAAAAGGGGAAAACUGGGCAGUUUUGGAUAGCCAGCUUAUUUCCACCAUAGGAAGCUAUUUUGUAGUGAAGGAGUGGUCAUGGUCUUUUCCUUGUCUUUUGAGGGAAGUACACGUACCAUAAGGUGUUGGCCUUGCUUUCUAACCUACACUGAGGCUUCUCUGUUGCCUUGUGCAGUCACAGAAAAGAUGUUGUAAUCUGGCCCUCAGCUUUAAUAUCCCAUUUAUUUUUAAAUAUGCAAAAAGGUUAAAAAACUAAUUUGGAAGUUGGAGGCCAGUUCUUGAGGAAAAGCACACAUACUAUGCUAAUUGUGGUGCAGAUAUGCUAGCACUUGUUAAACCUUUGCAAUAACUAAGCUUCCUUUCUUCCUUUCUUCCCAGUUAUUUGUAAUCUGCAAACACUUUUUGUUGUGUUUGUUCACAGGAAUUUUAGUCAGUAGCUCUGAAACUCUUUAAAAUUUCACUGCUUUGUAGCACUUAAAAGAUUCAAAAUAUGAAGUAGUAAAUAUUUAAAUGGAAAUUGAGGUGUGUAUAGGAUUGUAGAAGUAAAAACAGAUUAACUAGGAUAAGACCUUUCAUUGUUCACAGUUGAUGCUGGGCCAAAUCAUCCAUCAUCAGGAUCAGGUAAUGACAGAUGUCCUCAAGAUUUGACCAUGUUGAAAAAAGCUGAAAAAAGUUAUAUAGAAAAACACAUUCAAUUUCGGACUUCUGAGGACUGCUUGUAUCUAAAUGGUUAUAGCCCUGCAGACAAGAAGAACAAAUUACCUGUACGUAAACCCCUUGUGAAACCUUGUGAUCUACAAUGUCUGCUUUUAAUCCUGACUCCUAAGCCACUUAAUUGCUUUUGAAAAUGUUGUCUUGCAUAAGCAGGACUAAUAUUAUGCAAAAUUCACAAUCCAUAAACAUGAAAUUAAGCUCCCAUUGACUUUCAGUGAUUCGAAGUUAUUAAUUCUCUGUUGUAUUCCCUUCUCAUAUGAAAUCUGCCGACCAAUGCGUAAUGUAUGUCUCACCCUUUUUUUCUCAAUGGUCGUGGUGUGGAUCCAUGGAGGCAAUUUUGUAUUUGGUGGUGCUUCUAGGUGCAAUGGUUCAGCACUUUCAACCUGCAAGAAUAUUGUAGUGGUAGUAAUAAUUCAGUACAGACUUGGACUCCUUGGAUUUUUCAAGUAAGAUGAACCAUUUCACUUUUUACUACAUACUUUUUGUUUUGCUUAAAGCAUAAGUGGUUUAUGUGGUUAAGUGGUUGAGUUGUAAGACCUUUCCUUGGCCAAGCUGCACAAACUGUAAGUUGGCAGGGUUAAUUUUAUUCUGGUAUAAGAAAUAUUACUCUUCCUGAGAUGUUAGCUUAUACUGCUUUUCUUUCAGUACUGGUGAUGAACAUGCUCGUGGGAACUGGGCAUUUUUGGAUCAAGAAGAAACUCUUCAGUGGGUCAGGGAAAACAUGGAACACUUUGGUGGGGAUCCAGGAUCAGUCACACUCUUUGGUGUAUCUGCGGGAUCUUGCUGUGUUUUUGCACAGGUUUUAUCUACUUUGUCUAAGGGUCUCUUUCAUAAAGCAAUAUUAGAGAGUGGAGUUCUAAUUCCCUCUAAUAAAGAUUUACUUCUUUCAGCAGAUCUUAAGGAAAUCCCAUUUCUACCCUUAGUUUUGGAUGGAGUAUUUCUUCAUAAGUCACCUGAAGAUACGUUGGCUGGAAAAGAAUUUAACAUGGUCCUGUUUAUGAUAGGAGUCACCAAUAAUGAAUUUGGCUGGAAUAUUAAAUCUAUAUCAACAAUACCAGCUUUGAGAGAUGUGGGACAUAAAAAAAAUCAAUCACUUCAGCUUUAGAGUUUCUACUACCAAUGAUGAUUCUGGAGCGCCUACUACUUCUUUGAGUAUCAGCAUCGUUCCACUUUAUACUGGGAUACUAAACCAGAGUAUGUGAAAGCUGAUCGUGGAGAUGAAGUUGGCUUUGUCUUUGGAGGACCUUAUCUGGCAGGUGACAUAAGCCUAUGGGGUAAGAAAUUAAACAUCAGCCUUCGUUUAUAAAUUAUUCUCACAGUACUGACAUUAUUCAGUAUUGGUACUUCCAUUUUAAUCCAGUUGUAGUGCACAUGCUAGCAGUGAGAUCAAGAUGUAUCUCUCUCCUUUGAAUUUGUUCAGCAUUACUAUAUUCUCCAUCCUUUAUCACA